rnacentral:rRNA from 1 species
UACGUAGGGUGCGAGCGUUGUCCGGAAUUAUUGGGCGUAAAGAGCUCGUAGGCGGUUUGUCGCGUCGGCCGUGAAAACUUGGGGCUUAACUCCAAGCUUGCGGUCGAUACGGGCAGACUUGAGUUCGGCAGGGGAGACUGGAAUUCCUGGUGUAGCGGUGGAAUGCGCAGAUAUCAGGAGGAACACCGGUGGCGAAGGCGGGUCUCUGGGCAGUAACUGACGCUGAGGAGCGAAAGCGUGGGGAGCGAACAGG